CCAGUGUCUGGUGGAUAGCAGACUGAACCAGGUUAUUGUCCUGCUGAAAGGUGAAUUCAUCUCCCAGUGUCUGGUGGAAAGCAGACUGAACCAGGUUAUUGUCCUGCUGAAAGGUGAAUUCAUCUCCCAGUGUCUGGUGGAAAGCAGACUGAACCAGGUUAUUGUCCUGCUGAAAGGUGAAUUCAUCUCCCAGUGUCUGGUGGGAAGCAGACUGAACCAGGUUAUUGUCCUGCUGAAAGGUGAAUUCAUCUCCCAGUGUCUGGUGGGAAGCAGACUGAACCAGGUUAUUGUCCUGCUGAAAGGUGAAUUCAUCUCCCAGUGUCUGGUGGGAAGCAGACUGAACCAGGUUAUU